CGAAAGUUACGCUAAUACCGCAUAUUCUGUGAGCAGGAAAGCAGGGGGAUCGCAAGACCUUGCGCUGAUUGAGCGGCCGAUAUCAGAUUAGCUAGUUGGUGAGGUAAAGGCUCACCAAGGCGACGAUCUGUAGCGGGUCUGAGAGGAUGAUCCGCCACACUGGAACUGAGACACGGUCCAGACUCCUACGGGAGGCAGCAGGUGGGGAAUUUUGGACAAUGGGGGCAACCCUGAUCCAGCCAUGCCGCGUGAGUGAAGAAGGCCUUCGGGUUGUAAAGCUCUUUCGGCCGGGAAGAAAUCGCAUGGGCUAAUACCCUGUGCGGAUGACGGUACCGGCAUAAGAAGCACCGGCUAACUACGUG
rnacentral:rRNA from 1 species